rnacentral:tRNA from 1 species
AGUUAAUGAACUUGAAUAAGUAUAUGUUUUGAAAACAUAAUAUAAGAUUAAUAACCCUUAUUAACUU